rnacentral:lncRNA from 12 species
GUGCUGCCAGUGAAACCAAACUGGAGGCAAACUGGUUGAACUGAUGAGAGUGCUUCAUGCAUUGUUUCUCUUCCAGGUACCCCAUGGUGCAGCUGGGAAGAUGCUCCUUGUGCUGGGCAGCACCAGGUGGGGUGGGACAGGCUGCUGGAGGUUUUUACCCUGCUUCUGCCACAAGAUCCUGCUGAGUGCAAAAUUUGAUGAUUAUUUGCUUGAUGUGCUGGCUUUUGGUCCAAUGCUCUUGCACUGAAUUCUUGCAAAGUUUCAGUGCUAGGCACAAGUGCAACUCCCUGCCCCUGCUGUGUAGAAG